CCUUUUUUUUUUCUUCUUUCUUCUCUGUUUCUUCUUUCUUUCUUCUUUUCUUUUUUCUUUCUUCUCCGUUCAGCCCCGACGGUGCACCCCCAACCUGGCGCGGCGAUCAGUGGUGGCGCACGGUUGCAGGAGAGCCAUCAUGGCCUAGGGAGGCUGCUGGAGUAGCUCGGCUGGGGAGGGGUACGCUUGGCUGCUAUUGCGGUGAUUUGACAAGUCCAGGAGGACCAAAUUGCAUAGGAUGCAAAGCUUCUGGGGCAAAAGUGCAAUUUUAGCAAAAAUAUGGUCCAAAAUGUAAUUUCUUGAAAGUUUAGGGGUUAAAGUGAAAUUUUGAGAAAGUUUAGGGGUUGAAAUGUAAUUUUAGAAAAGUUUGGGUCAAAAUGUAAAUUUUGAAAAGUACAGGGGUCAAAUGUAAAUUUCAAAAAGUACAGGGGUCAAAAUGCAAUUUUUUUAAUUUUUUUUUAAACACGAAAUUAUUCCCGGACAAAA